AGCUAAUAAAUCCAGUGGUAAGAUGGGAGUUGGAAGUUGGAAGUUGGCCCAUGGAAUCGUGUCAGCAGUUGGCUAAGUUGGCUAAGUACGGCCAUAACUUUCGGUUUUCAUGGGCAUGUAACCAGUAGGAGUUAAAGUCUCCACUUUGUCCAGACUACUGUACCGCGAGCUUCUGAUUUUUAUGAAGUUAACCGACAAUACGAACUCUGCAUGCUAAGCAACUUGUACUCAAUUUGAAUAUUAAUUUACCAGAAAUGAAUGGUGAAUAUGCCCAGACCAGGUAUCUCAUAUUCAGUGCUGCAUUUGCAAACUGAACCGCUAUUUGAAUGACACAAUAAAUUGCCAGGCUAUGC
ensembl:ncRNA lncRNA:CR43994 long non-coding RNA:CR43994